AGCUCCAAAAGCGUAUAUUAAAGUUGUUGCGGUUAAAAAGCUCGUAGUUGGAUCUCGGCGAGUAGGACGUGGUUCGUUGUUUAACGGUACUGCUUCAUUUACUCGUGUUUUUGGCGGAGGUUCCAAGGUGCUCUUAAACAAGUGUCUUGGGGUGCCGUCAGGUUUACUUUGAAAAAAUUAGAGUGCUCAAAGCAGGCUUAACAAGCUUGAAUAUUCGUGCAUGGAAUAAUGGAAUAGGACGUCGUUUCUAUUUUGUUGGUUUUCGGAAAUCGACGUAAUGAUUAAUAGGGACAGUCGGGGGCAUUAGUAUUCAGACGACAGAGGUGAAAUUCUUGGACCGUCUGAAGACUAACUACUGCGAAAGCAUUUGCCAAGAAUGUUUUCAUUAAUCAAGAACGAA
rnacentral:rRNA from 1 species